UAAAUUUAAAUGUUUGGCCUUAUAUGAUGGUAUUGACAGUGUAUAUAUAUAUUAAACUGUAAACUGUCUAGGUGGGUGAUGAGUGGGUCAAGACACCGAAGAAUGGAGGCGGUUAGACUGAGGAAGGAAAACCAAAUCUAUUCUGCAGAUGAAAAGAGAGCACUUGCAAUGUUCAGCAAGGAGGAGAGGUUGAAGAGAGAAAACAAGAUCCUGGGACAGUUUAGGGAAAUGGUUCAUGAGAAGCUGAAGAAAUAGAGAAGACGACAUUUUCUCAUCUGUAUUCAUUAACGUAUUAAUAAACAUUAAUUCAUUGAA